UAAAUCCAUGAUCACAAGAAUAAUAAAGGAAGUUCUCUUAGCUGAGAACUUUGUCUCUGAUAUUUUGACCAGAUUAAGGAACUAACACAUUAGUAAGAAAUCAUUACUCCUUGCUCCACCUUUUAGGUAUCAGAAUUAGAGCCAAACUUUAGCAAGAUACUCUUUAUUGUUUACUUGCUUGAAUUUCCUCUCUUCUCAGGUUAUAGCCAUUUGGGGGCCAGAGACAGAAAAACAGUAACAAGUUGUAUGGAGUGCAACUUAAACCAAGGAUUCUGGCUGUUUGCAUGUUUGCUUUCUAUCCCCACACCUCAAAGGUGUUCUACAGUAUCAGUAAUGACAGAAACUCAUUUGAAGGGAUUCUCAAAGGGAGUGAUCACUCCUUCAUGGAGAAUAUUUUAGUUGAACCCUUUAUUCACCUGACCAGCAGUAUCUAGGAUCUCCAUGGAAACCACUUCAUCAUCGAUGGUUGCUUGGUGUCGGUAGGUUGAUUCUGGAAAGUGAGCAAAUAAAGAAGACAAAAAAAUGGCCCAGCUCAAGGAGGAGCAGGCGAGACUACAUCCCACAUGCUGUAGGACCGUGACCUUUUGGAUCUGUUCUUUGGUGUCCUUUGUGCUGAGUUCCCUCUGAAGAGACUGGCAUCAGCCUUGGAGCCUGGAAACAGUGCUCUGGGCUCUAUUCCAUCUCUUUGCACCAAAACUUGUCGAAGAGACCAGGACAUUUUUCUCUGUUGCUUCCAUGAUGAAUAGUAUUUCAACCACAGAAGGCCACAGUAGGAGGGAAAUAGAGUAUAAUGAAAAUUGUAUGCAGUUGUGUGAUUCUUCAGCUGUUUGUUAACUGAAAGGAAAAGGAGGAAAUGCAGGAAAUGAGGGAAUGUCUGCCUCAGACACAGCAGUGGGUGGGCACAGUGAUUUCAUCUGAGAGGAAUACUGGUUUCAUAUCACUUCAAGCCCCUUUUUCUUUCAACUCUCUCAUUAGAAACCCCCAUUUUUUUUCUCUCCACAUAUAAAACAGUGGAAGGAUUGGCCAAAGAAGUAAAUGUUGUACAUCUCUGUGCUAGCUUUUCUGGAGAUAAUUCUUCAAAAUGUACUAAGCUGUGUCUUGUUUCAUUUUGUUUUUGUGGAGAGAAUAAACUAUA